GUUGGUGAGAAGAUGGUUUAAGGAGUGCCGCGCAGGUGCUUAGUCACCUCCAGUUUUAAUUGAAGUCUCCUGGGAAGGUCUGAGACAAGGCCCGUAUGCUGUGUAAGCAUUGUAAUUCACGAGAAGGGGUUCUGCUCUAAUGUGUGACAGAGGUGCCGUACCAGAAAUGCGCUUCAGGCGUAACCGGCUUCCAGCUGUGUGUUCGCGCUAACGCGUGGAACGCAAGAUGGUUGAGGGCGCAGCGUUUGUGCUCUCCAAUACCUGACGUUUGUCGGCUUCGGCUGACGGCACUGCAGCGGCGGUUGUAACAACGGCACUGGCCAGCGGUUCCUGAGUGCGAUAACCACAGUUAAACACAAUUCAGACUACUCUCUCGCCAAC
rnacentral:RNase_P_RNA from 1 species